rnacentral:tRNA from 1 species
GCCGGAGUGGCGGAAUAGGCAGACGCAAGGGACUUAAAAUCCCUCGGGCUCAAAAGGCUCGUACCGGUUCGAUCCCGGUCUCCGGCACCA